UACAGAGGUCUCAAGCGUUGUUCGGAUUCAUUGGGCGUAAAGGGUGCGUAGGUGGCGGGGUAAGUCAGGUGUGAAAUUUCGGAGCUCAACUCCGAAACUGCAUUUGAUACUGCCUUGCUUGAGGACUGGAGAGGAGACUGGAAUUCACGGUGUAGCAGUGAAAUGCGCAGAUAUCGGGAGGAACACCUAUGGCGAAGGCAGCUCGCUGGGACGUUACUGACGCUGAGACGCGAAAGCGUGGGGAGCAAACAGG
rnacentral:rRNA from 1 species